UACGUAGGGGGCAAGCGUUGUCCGGAAUUAUUGGGCGUAAAGAGCGUGUAGGCGGCCAGAUAAGUCCGCUGUGAAAUCUCGAGGCUCAACUUCGAGCUGUCGGUGGAAACUAUCUGGCUAGAGUCCGGAAGAGGAGAAUGGAAUUCCUGGUGUAGCGGUGGAAUGCGCAGAUAUCAGGAGGAACACCAAUAGCGAAGGCAGCUCGCUGGGACGGUACUGACGCUAAGGCGCGAAAGCGUGGGGAGCGAACAGG
rnacentral:rRNA from 1 species